UAGCUUGGUAGGCAGAGCGUCUGCUUUGUAAGCGCUAGGCCGCGGGUUCGAUUCCCGC
rfam:Asian citrus Psyllid, Diaphorina citri - Florida Strain, whole genome shotgun sequence.